UGAGAAUACACUAUACACGAUAAAUAUGUUCGAAAAUACCACUGGGCUGUUCGUUCACUUGGCGAAACUGGUGAAAAUUUGAUGACAAAGAGGACCUGGGAAUAUGCCCACACACAGAGGCAGGAGGAAAGGGAGGAGGCGCAGGAGGGAGCUGAAGAGAAGGAUAAGGAGCAGAAGGAGAGACAGGAGGGGUGAGAACUGAGGAGGAAACGGGGAGCAGGGAGAUCUGGUGAGAGACGGGGGAGCAGGGAGAGCGGGUGAAGAGACGGUUGUAGUUUUGUGUUUUUGUUCGUUGUCCAUUUCCUCUUGCUUGCAGGAUUCUCUGGCGGUGGUGAUUGCUUUGAACAUGCGGAGCCUUGGGGGUCGGCAGUGGGGGGUGCAGGCCGUCCUGUCGUACCUGAAGAACGUAAAAGGUGGAAAUUUUGUUUCUGCAGGAGCUCCACAAAAUCAGCAGGGCAGGAGGGAUUUGUUGGACAAGAUUUCCCCACACCUGUUGGGGAGGGUGCCUUGUUUGUUGGGUAGUGUUCUGGUUUUUUCCAGCGCAUGGGCUGACAUUAGGUUACGUGGUGGAAGUUUUGAAAUCGGUGACCCAUUUGGACCUGCUGCAUCGGCACAGACCUGGCGUGGUUCCUGGCCCGGUUCCUGGCCCAUGAUGUGCUGCCGGUGAGUGGUCCUGCAAGCCCGGAGGUUCAGGGACAUCAUUCUGCCCCCCAAGACACCUGCAAUGAGAGAGUCGGCCUGGCACUGUCUGUGGGACGGUCUCCGCGCACUGGAGGUCGGCCCAGCCACUAGUUCAACUGGUAGCUGGAAGGAGAGCCAUGGACUGUUAUAUGAUGCUCUACGAUGGUGCCCGGCAACGUGUGGGAACCUCUCAGCAGGGGGGCUUGGUGGCUCUUGGUGAACUUGUGCCAGGAAGCUCUCUGGGUGGCGGAAGGAAAGGGGCUGCCUCCAGACGCUGCGUGGCAGAUGGCGGAUGGCGGAUGGCGGAUGGUGAAGGUGUUGGACUACAUGGGGCGAGACCGCAGAAAGUGGGGGGCUGAGACUGCUAAAGCACAAAUGGGGGGGAACUGGCAUGGACAAUGAUGGGCCUGGACUUUGAAAACAUUUCAGAAUAAAACUGGGUUCUUUUUGUGUUGAUGAAGUGGUGAAGAGUGGAGUUUGUUAUUUAAGGACACGCACUGAUUUGUACAAAAGAAAAGUUGUUUUUAUUGUGCGGUUUUAUUGUUUUUAUUAUUGGUCAUGGUUGGGGGUUAUUGUAUGGUGUGAUUUAAACAUGAUUUUAGUUUCUGUAUAUUUUGGGGGGUUUCAUUUGGGAUGUCCUUUUGAAUUGAUAUUUAUGUGUUUGAGAUUGGGGGGGGAUCAUAUUGUGAUUGCAGUUUUCAUUUAUAGAAAGGAUAUUUUGUUUUUGGUAUUAUGUAUUGAUAGCUAAGUUAUGCAUUUGAUUUGAUUUUAUGCCUUUUAAUUGUAUUUAUUUGGUUACACUUAUUGUCAGUCCAGCCAUGAAUUAAUUGAAAAUGUAAUUGUAAUACAAAUUGUACAGAUUUAAUGUUAAUAUUUUCAAAAACCAAAACGAAAAUUGUGCAAGAAGAGCUUUCGGAGUAUAUGCAAAGAUUAUAAGCAGUAUUACUUGGUUAUUGCAAAAGAUACGUUCCUUGUUCAAGACUGACUUCAUUACGGCAAUAAUUGCAAAAUGACGAAUGUUCAUCUAUUCCGAAAGUUUUUUUUAUUUGGGUCUGAGCAUUGAGUGCAGUGCCUUGUGUUCAUAGUACAAUGGAGUUAUGGUUAUAGUUUCGGAAACUCCUUUGGAAUGAUGUGUGUGUACUCCGUUUUAGUUACAGAGCUGUAAUAUCAACCUUUCAAUGUUAGAAAUGCUAACAAAACCUGAAAAUCUUAUGUAGAGCAUGUCUAUACCUUCUAAGGAAUAAUGUUAAUCUCAGGUAAAUUUCACUCUAAUUAGUUCCCUCGUUGCAAAGGACCCACGUGAAGAAUGCAAACUUACCAUUUGCGCUAAGAAAUUGUUUUAAAACUUUGGAAAAGAAAUGUGUUAUGGAUAACCAGAAGUCACCUCAACUCUUAAAUUACCUUUUUAAUUUUUGUAACAUAACCACAAAUGAGUCAGCUGAGACAGUCAGUGCACUGCCGAGCAGUCUGGUGAUACUUUAUGUCUUGAAUAUGGUGUCAUUUUCCAUCAAUACCACUGCAGAGUCUGUAUAACAUUUGUCUAUUGCUUAUACAGACCCAUUGGUUUAAAACAUGUGCUUUUUGAUGUUGA